CGUCAGUGGUGGAUUGCUAGAUAUAAAUCAACUUAUCAGCAGUUGUACCACUGAUUUG
rnacentral:pre_miRNA from 1 species